AGAUUAAGUUAUUAAGGGCGCACGGUGGAUGCCUUGGCACUAGAAGCCAAUGAAGGACGUUACUAACGACGAUAUGCUUUGGGGAGCUGUAAGUAAGCUUUGAUCCAGAGAUUUCCGAAUGGGGAAACCCAGCAUGAGUUAUGUCAUGUUAUCGAUAUGUGAAUACAUAGCAUAUCAGAAGGCACACCCGGAGAACUGAAACAUCUUAGUACCCGGAGGAAGAGAAAGAAAAUUCGAUUCCCUUAGUAGCGGCGAGCGAAACGGGAAGAGCCCAAACCAACAAGCUUGCUUGUUGGGGUUGUAGGACACUCUAUACGGAGUUACAAAGGACGACAUUAGACGAAUCAUCUGGAAAGAUGAAUCAAAGAAGGUAAUAAUCCUGUAGUCGAAAAUGUUGUCUCUCUUGAGUGGAUCCUGAGUACGACGGAGCACGUGAAAUUCCGUCGGAAUCUGGGAGGACCAUCUCCUAAGGCUAAAUACUCUCUAGUGACCGAUAGUGAACCAGUACCGUGAGGGAAAGGUGAAAAGCACCCCGGAAGGGGAGUGAAAUAGAACCUGAAACCGUGUGCUUACAAGUAGUCAGAGCCCGUUAAUGGGUGAUGGCGUGCCUUUUGUAGAAUGAACCGGCGAGUUACGAUUUGAUGCAAGGUUAAGCAGUAAAUGUGGAGCCGUAGCGAAAGCGAGUCUGAAUAGGGCGUUUAGUAUUUGGUCGUAGACCCGAAACCAGGUGAUCUACCCUUGGUCAGGUUGAAGUUCAGGUAACACUGAAUGGAGGACCGAACCGACUUACGUUGAAAAGUGAGCGGAUGAACUGAGGGUAGCGGAGAAAUUCCAAUCGAACCUGGAGAUAGCUGGUUCUCUCCGAAAUAGCUUUAGGGCUAGCCUCAAGUGAUGAUUAUUGGAGGUAGAGCACUGUUUGGACGAGGGGCCCCUCUCGGGUUACCGAAUUCAGACAAACUCCGAAUGCCAAUUAAUUUAACUUGGGAGUCAGAACAUGGGUGAUAAGGUCCGUGUUCGAAAGGGAAACAGCCCAGACCACCAGCUAAGGUCCCAAAAUAUAUGUUAAGUGGAAAAGGAUGUGGCGUUGCCCAGACAACUAGGAUGUUGGCUUAGAAGCAGCCAUCAUUUAAAGAGUGCGUAAUAGCUCACUAGUCGAGUGACACUGCGCCGAAAAUGUACCGGGGCUAAACAUAUUACCGAAGCUGUGGAUUGUCCUUUGGACAAUGGUAGGAGAGCGUUCUAAGGGCGUUGAAGCAUGAUCGUAAGGACAUGUGGAGCGCUUAGAAGUGAGAAUGCCGGUGUGAGUAGCGAAAGACGGGUGAGAAUCCCGUCCACCGAUUGACUAAGGUUUCCAGAGGAAGGCUCGUCCGCUCUGGGUUAGUCGGGUCCUAAGCUGAGGCCGACAGGCGUAGGCGAUGGAUAACAGGUUGAUAUUCCUGUACCACCUAUAAUCGUUUUAAUCGAUGGGGGGACGCAGUAGGAUAGGCGAAGCGUGCGAUUGGAUUGCACGUCUAAGCAGUAAGGCUGAGUAUUAGGCAAAUCCGGUACUCGUUAAGGCUGAGCUGUGAUGGGGAGAAGACAUUGUGUCUUCGAGUCGUUGAUUUCACACUGCCGAGAAAAGCCUCUAGAUAGAAAAUAGGUGCCCGUACCGCAAACCGACACAGGUAGUCAAGAUGAGAAUUCUAAGGUGAGCGAGCGAACUCUCGUUAAGGAACUCGGCAAAAUGACCCCGUAACUUCGGGAGAAGGGGUGCUCUUU
rnacentral:rRNA from 1 species